GAUGAACGCUAGCGGCAGGCCUAAUACAUGCAAGCCGGACGGCAAGUUGAGUAGCAAUACUUGACCUAGAGUGGCGUAAGGGUGCGUAACACGUAUGCAAUCUGCCCACAGCCGGGAGAUAGCCCUCCGAAAGGAGGAUUAAUAUCCCAUAGGAAGAUGAGAUGGCAUCAUUUUAUUUUUAAACUACGGGGCUGUGGAUGAGCAUGCGGUUGAUUAGCUAGUUGGCGGGUAAAGGCCCACCAAGGCGAUGAUCAAUAGGGGACCUGGGAGGGUGAUCCCCCACACUGGCACUGAGAUACGGGCCAGACUCCUACGGAGGCAGCAGUAGGGAAUAUUGGACAAUGGGUGUAAGCCUGAUCCAGCCAUGCCGCGUGCAGGAAGAAGGCCUUCGUGGGUUGUAAACUGCUUUGCCGGGGAUAAAGAU
rnacentral:rRNA from 1 species